UCAUGGCGUUAGAAAAAUUUCCGAACUGCCAAUUUUUUUAGUAUCAAUUGAUUAGGAGGGAUUUUCGUUUCCAAUAAAUAAGAAUGUACAGCAUUUAAUUCAAACAGAGCCAACGUUCAUUCAAAGUUUUGCGAAAAGUGUGAGAAGUAAAAUUGAAGCCAGAGCAUUUUUAAAAUAUGAGAUUGCAGGUGCAGGAGUUAGAGCCACAAUAGUUUCGCCGGGCUCUCACUAAAUUAAAUCAGCUCCAUCACAAUCUUAAGAUGUCUCUGCUUCUCAUUCAACAACAUUAUCGGUUUCAAAACCAGUUGUUGCCAGUCAAUUUAUACCAAUCGCACAGAAGCAAUCUGUCCAAUACACGAAAGAUGGUUUAUCUCAGUCUAGCAAGUCACAGGCCAUCGACCAUGGCGUUCAAAGCUGGACAUUUGCAGAAACUUCAAAUUCUAGAUUAAAGAACUCAACUAGACUAUUUCCUGAGAUGUAAUCUUUCAUCUUUUCAAGAAAACAACUAACGCGAUUCUUAGUUCAAGUAAGCAACAUUGGAAUUUCCUAAUUUCUUAUGUUGUUUCAUUGUGAUGAAAUUGCGCUUUAAUUUAAGUUUUUACAAGUUCUCAAGCAA